ACUCUUCAACCCAUCAGUUUCUAGUAGACUGUAUUGGUGUUUGGAUUUUGAGCGUUGCUAGUCUGACUAGCUCGUUCGUAAUACAUGAGCAUCUUUAAUUCGAACUCGGUUUGACUCAGUGUAAUAGACUAUUCACUGAGGACACUAUUUGAUAGUGGCCGUCAUUAGAAAUCUUAGAAGCUUCUAAUCAUUAUUAGUCAAUUUAUGA
rnacentral:misc_RNA from 1 species